rnacentral:rRNA from 1 species
CUCGUAGGCGGUUCAGUAAGUUGGGUGUGAAAGCUCCGGGCUCAACCCGGAGAGGCCACCCAAUACUGCUGUGACUAGAGUCCAGUAGAGGAGCGUGGAACUCCUGGUGUAGCGGUGAAAUGCGCAGAUAUCAGGAAGAACACCGGCAGCGAAGGCGGCGCUCUGGGCUGGUACUGACGCUGAGGAGCGAAAGCAUGGGUAGCAAACA